AGCUCCAAAAGACAAGCCAACUUCCAUUACUGCGGCAGUGUCAGGAGGAGUUGUGUUUCUGGUGCUGAUACUCUUGCUUUGGGCGUGUAUCAAAAGAAAAAGUCUUUCAUCUGCUCUUUCCAAUAAAAAGGAAAAUAUAUAUGAGACUGUAGAUGACAGUUGUUCUACCGUACAUCCUGCUCCCCCACAAAAAACCAAUGAUGCCAUAUAUUACUUGGCUGGAGAUCCUGAUGUAGUAAAAAUCGGCCAAAGACAGGAGUUUGAUGAUCCCACAUAUACCCUGAUAGGCUUAUCAGAGUCAAAGUCAAAGGAAAAUCUCAAUGAGCAGGGACCUGAUGUGCCUUUGUACUCUACAAUCAAAGAAUUCAGUGAAUAAUGAAACACUUGAACUUAUAUUAAAAAAAUCCAUAAACGUUAAGUGAUAAAGUGAAUGUUAUAUUUCAGUGGCAAAACUCUUUAAAAUAAUAUUAUUUAACAUGCUAUUUUUAUGUGUCAAGCUGUGAUAUAUGUUUGUUUGUUGUUUAUAGUUUUUAUAUUUUAGGUUUAUAUUUAGAAAUAUACAAAUGCUGUACGAGACAUACUGUAAUGCUAUUACAAUCCCUUCUCCCUUUCCUGGAUGGUAUUUCUUUAUACUGAAUAAAUAAAUUGUUUUUCCAAGCA